AUUGAACGCUGGCGGCAUGCUUUACACAUGCAAGUCGAACGGCAGCACGGACUUCGGUCUGGUGGCGAGUGGCGAACGGGUGAGUAAUACAUCGGAACGUGCCCAGUUGUGGGGGAUAACUACUCGAAAGAGUGCUAAUACCGCAUGAGAACUGAGGUUGAAAGCAGGGGAUCGCAAGACCUUGCGCAACUGGAGCGGCCGAUGGCAGAUUAGGUAGUUGGUGGGAUAAAAGCUUACCAAGCCGACGAUCUGUAGCUGGUCUGAGAGGACGACCCGCCAGACUGGGAAUGCGACACGGCCCAGACUCCUCCGGGAGGCAGCAGUGGGGAAUUUUGGACAAUGGGCGAAAGCCUGAUCCAGCAAUGCCGCGUGCAGGAUGAAGGCCUUCGGGUUGUAAACUACUUUUGUACGGAACGAAAAGCUUCGGGUUAAUACCUUGGAGUCAUGACGGUACCGUAAGAAUAAGCACCGGCUAACUACGUGCCAGCCGCCGCCGUAAAAC
rnacentral:rRNA from 1 species